AGGAAGGGAAAAUGGCGGAGUGAGAGGAAGAAGUGGAGUAAGAGCCGCGGGCUGCGGCCCGAUGGCCUCAGCCGAGGUCCAUACAUAAGCCAUCUUGAUUGUCUAGUGGAACAAGAAAAUUGCUUUACCAGAAAACUAAAGACAUUAUACAUGAUGACUUGUGCAGCCAUGAAACAAACAGGAAUGUAUUUUUGUGGUUUGAGUCAGGCUCAAGAGUCAAGAAAUUAUAGUAGUCUAAGGUAAUAUCAAGACAUUUAUGGUUGAUCCAACCAAGACUGAUCUUGAAGCCUCACCUGUUCAGGAAAUCACUUGUGAUGAAAGAAGUCAUCUCCAUGAAGGAAAACGAAGAAUCCCUGCUCUGUUUCUGGUCUAGCUCUUCAGCAUUUGACAUGUGAAGUCUGUAUUAUAGCAAAGACAUAUUUCUAGGCUUUGCAAAACAACUGAAAUGAAUAGCUGACAUUUCACAGAAACUGUCAACUUCACUAGGUUGCUCAAGAGUUUUCUGUAGUCUAGAAGAGAUUGUGCAUACAGGCACGGGCAAAAGCCAGUACUGAUUGGUAUUUACCCCUUUUCAAAAUACCUUGGUUAACUGGCCACUCUCUACAUAACCCUUGGAGAAUCUAGCAAACUGAUGAGUCUUCUGAACAUGUUGCAAGACUUUUAACAUGGAAGUCUAAGCGGUAAGCUAAGUAGGAUGUAUGUAUGUGUCAUUUAAAGUGAGGAAUAACAUUUUUCUUAAAAUACUCUCUGAAAAAUACCUCAGCUGGGAUUUUUCAGCCCAUAAAGGUUACCAAUUUAUAGAUAACCAUCUGGCUGUCUAGAGCAGCUUGUGCAGAGAAACUUUGGCAUUUUGUCCACUGUGUCUAAAUGCAUCCUUGCUUUUGAAAGAAACCCAGCAAAUCUGCACAUAUAUAUCUACAUAUUUGCUGGAAAGGAGAUGUUGCUGUUACUCUGACAGAUCCCUUCUCAAGGUGAAGCUCUGAUUUAAAAGUACAUGCAAGCAAGCUGAGGGGCAUCGGGGGGAGGGGGUUAAGUGACAUCUCCAGUUGUCCCUACAGAAUUAAGGAGCAAUAGCUUUUUCCAGUUUUUUACCCCAGCUUUUACCCCAGAGAGAACACAUGUGAUAAUGUAAAAAUAUAUGUAAAAUUUCCCACCAUUUAGAUUAACAAAGGCCAGACAUGCUCAGGAAGGGCUUCUUCACUGCUUCCAUUGGUGUCUCUACCCGCAGUUAAGGUGGAAGUUGUGAUUCUAACAUUGUUUACACAGGAUCCUUUUUUGUCUGUUGUGUGUGACCUUUAUGGGACAUUUUGCUUUAGCAUGGGAUAAUAGAUAAUUGCCAGGAUUGGUGGCUUCCUGGCAUAGAGGUCUUAUCUAUUUAUGCUGAACCUGGAAUCCUUAGUAGUGCACCUUACUUCAGUCUUAUUAAGUGUGAAUUUAGAACAGGUUUGCAGCUGCUUAAAAAUCCCUGAUCAGGAUGAAAAUGGUGGCACAUAUUCUACUAACUGUCAACAUUGGCUAACAAAAUUCUUAGAACUGCCUAAGAUCUACUCAUAGGUAGCAAGGGUAUUAUUUUCUGGCAUGGACAUCAGUGUCUGAUGAGAUUAGACAACAUAUUCUCCUUUCUUUAAACAAAAAAAAAUAGUUGAAUAAAUGGACCAUACCAUUAACUAAGCACUUGUAUUGACUCAUCCAUUGGCAUUGUGUACGAUUGCCAUAAUAUAAAAAUGCAGCGGAAUUCUUAUGGACAUAUAUUCAGCUGCUUUCCUUUAUCAAGCUGAGAACAAUGUUGGAAUAGGACUUUGCAACACAGCGGAACAUAAGUUGGCUCUCUUGCCAACUACAGGAAAAUGGUUAUGGUUAUCAUUGAGAGUGGCAUUUUUUAAAGUACUUUGGAAUCCAAAUAAAAAUCAUUAGGCAAUUAGUAUGAUUUAAGGAUAUUCUGAACAGGAAUUCUUGUCUAGGUGCAGGGUCUUCUAAUUGGUAAGAAAAUUAUUAUGUACAGCCAUGAAACUGAAAACUUAGACACAUCCAGCAGUAUGAUGGCUUGUUGACUGGUCUACAGACUCCAAAUUGUCGUCUUAACAUCAUAGGCUGUUACAGGCUGAGAUUAUUGGUGGGUUUUAUCAUGAUGUCAGUUCAGAAUGAAUACAACUGAAGGUCAAUAUUUGUCAUGCAGACCUUCAGUAAAAGAACCCUUCCUCCCUUUUUCCUCUAGGCCCUUUUCUAACCAUGAACGUAUUUGUGCGUAAUAGGGCUAUAUUAGGAUUGAAAUUGGAGUCUCAGAAAAGUCUUCUGUGCAUUCCCAGGAAACCCCAUCACAGUACGUGUCCUGUAGCAUCUUCUUAAUUGUACUGUGCAAAGGCAAUACUGCCUUAAUCUUUUGGUUUUAUAUUUUGGUCUCCAUGUCGGCAGGAAACUUUUCCAUAUGAUAGAUUAAACAAACACGGG